rnacentral:tmRNA from 1 species
GGGGGUGAUUGGAGUCGACCUGGUAAGUUGCAUUCUUCGUUGCAAGCCGAGGUGCCGAAGGCCUCGUUAAAAUCGGCAAAAACAAUACACGCGAACACUCAAAACUACGCGCUCGCAGCCUAAGGGCUUCGACGUCCGCCUGAUCCUUUCCGACCGGAUCAGCCUCGGGCGACACUUAUGUCGGAUUGCCUCGUCGGGUUUGACUAACACCUGAUCUGGGACUCCCAAGUUAAUCUAGCGAUUCUCUAGUUUGGUCACCGAGACCGGAGAACGCAAAAAAUAUCGGGGACUACGCUUGUAGACGCGCUGGGUGUGCUAUUGGGAACGAGAGUUCGAGUCUCUCCACCUCCACCA